ensembl:lincRNA
CCUGCAGCUUCUCUGGAGUGCUCAGACCUUCGACUCCCCGAAUCAGCUCUGGAGAGCCACGAGCUCUUACAACAGGAAGGACUACUCGGGCGAGUACAGCAUCUACCUGGUCCCCUGCACGGUGCAGCCCACGCAGCCCUGGGCCGACCCCGGAGAGAAGCCGCUGCCCUGCACCGCGCACACCGCCGAGAGAUUCCUGAUUCCCAUCGCGUUCCAGCAGACCAACCGCCCGGUGCCGGUGGUGUACUCGCUCAACACCGAGUUCCAGCUCUGCAACAACGAGAAGGUGUUUGUCAUGGACCCCAGCACCUCCGGCAUGUCCCUGGCGGAGAUGGAUUACAAGGGGGCCUUCUCCAAAGGGCAGACGCUGUACGGCCGCGUGCUGUGGAGCCCCGAGCAGAACCUGCACGCGGCGUACCGGCUGCGGCUGGAGCAGGUGUACCUGUGCACCGGCCGCGACGGCCACGUGCCCUUCUUCGACCCCACCGGCACCGUCUACAACGAGGGCCCGCAGUACGGCUGCAUCCAGCCCGCGCGGCACCUGCAGCACCGCUUCCUCCUGCUGGACCGCAGCCAGCCAGAGGUGACGGAUAAGUACUUCCAUGACGUGCCUUUCGAGGCUCACUUUGCCUCUGAGCUGCCCGACUUCCAGGCGGUCAGCAGCAUGCCGGGCGUGGACGGGUUCACGCUGAAGGUGGACGCGCUCUACAAGGUGGAGGCCGGGCACGAGUGGUACCUGCAAGUGAUCUAUGUCAUCGGGCCGGACAGCGUCCCGGGGCCCCGUGUCCAGCGCUCUCUCGGGGUCCCCCUGGGGCGGCGGCGGCCCCGGAGGGACCUGGACGACCCGCUGGUGUAUGACAACGAGGGCGACCGAGUCAGGAACGGCACCAACAUGAAGUCCCUGAGCCUGGAGGGGCCCGAGCCGGCGGCGGCCGCCACCUCCCUGGCCCAGGCGGGCGCGUCCCUCGGCGGGGCCCUGGCCGCGGCCAUGCUCCUGCUCCUGGUGGCCCUGGUGGCUUGUGUGGCCACCAGGCAGUGCCAGGAGAGGAGGAGGAGGAGGAGGAGGAAGAAACAGCCCCCCGAGGAGGAGGAGGAGGAGGAGGAUGCUCUGCAGGCCCAGGCUCUGCGCAGCUGCAAGGUGGCGGCCGCGGGCAGGUGCAGCCCGGGCCGCGUGGAGAGGGACAGGGACAGGGGCUGCCCCGCGUGGGACGCCGGCCUCGGCGCCAGAGUGAGGAGGCUGAGCCCGGAGGCCAGAGCCCACGAGGAUCUGCAGGACGGGACGGAAGUGUGAUGGGCAGGGCCCCCACCCCGUGCAGUUUUGCUCUGCUCUGUUUUUCCCAGAGUCUCGGUGUUUUUUUUAUAUAAAGCUGGGGCCGGGUGGGGAGGGAGGGGGGAAAGGGGAAAUUGCUGGUAUUUUUGUAUCGGUCUUGCAGAGGGGAAAGAGGAAAAGAGAAAUAGAAAGGGAAGGGGACAGUCGAGGACGGCGGGCGCCACACCCGUAGGCUGGCAGGUGAGCUGCCUGGAGGAGCAGAGAACCACUUUCUGUAGGAUUAUUUCUGUAGGAUUAUUUCUGUAGGAUUCUUUUCUGUAGGAUUAUUUCUGUAGGAUUAUUUCUGUAGGAUUAUUUCUGUAGGAUUAUUUUCUGUAGGAUUAUUUCUGUAGGAUUAUUUUCUGUAGGAUUAUUUUCUGUAGGGUUAUUUCUGUAGGAUUAUUUCUGUAGGGUUAUUUCUGUAGGAUUAUUUCUGUAGGAUUAUUUCUGUAGGAUUAUUUCUGUAGGAUUAUUUUCUGUAGGGUUAUUUCUGUAGGGUUAUUUUCUAUAGGGUUAUUUCUGUAGGGUUAUUUCUGUAGGAUUAUUUCUGUAGGAUUAUUUCUGUAGGAUUAUUUCUGUAGGAUUAUUUUCUCUAGGAUUAUUUUCUCUAGGGUUAUUUCUGUAGGGUUGUUUCUGUAGGAUAAUUUUCUGUAGGAUAAUUUUCUGUAGGAUUAUUUUCUGUAGGAUUAUUUUCUGUAGGGUUAUUUCUGUAGGGUUAUUUUCUGUAGGAUUAUUUCUGUAGGGUUAUUUUCUGUAGGAUUAUUUUCUGUAGGGUUAUUUUCUGUAGGAUUAUUUCUGUAGGGUUAUUUUCUGUAGGGUUAUUUUCUGUAGGAUUAUUUCUGUAGGGUUAUUUU